rnacentral:rRNA from 1 species
GACGAACGCUGGCGGCGCGCCUAACACAUGCAAGUCGAACGGAGUCAAGAGGAGCUUGCUUUUCUUUACUUAGUGGCGAACGGGUGAGUAACGCGUGAGUAACCUGCCCUGGAGUGGGGGACAACAGGGGGAAACGACUGCUAAUACCGCAUAAGCCCACGGUGCCGGAUGGGGCUGGGGGAAAAUGGUUGAUUCGGGUCAGGAUGGACUCGCGUCCAAUUGUCUGGUUGGUGAUGUAACGGCCCACCAAUGCGACGAAUGGUAGCCGGACGGGGGGGCUGAACGGCCACAUUGGGACUGAGACACGGCCCAGACUCCUACGGGAGGCAGGAGUGGGGGAUAUUGCACAAUGGGGGAAAACCUGAUGCAGCGACGCCGCGUGGAGGAAGAAGGUUGUCGGAUUGUAAACUCCUGUCGUAAGAGACGAUAAUGACGGUACCUAACAAGAAAGCACCGGCUAACUACGUG